rnacentral:rRNA from 1 species
UACGGGGGGGGCAAGCGUUGUUCGGAAUUACUGGGCGUAAAGGGCUCGUAGGUGGCCAACUAAGUCAGACGUGAAAUCCCUCAGCUUAACUGGGGAACUGCGUCUGAUACUGGAUGGCUUGAGUUUGGGAGAGGGAUGCGGAAUUCCAGGUGUAGCGGUGAAAUGCGUAGAUAUCUGGAGGAACACCGGUGGCGAAGGCGGGUCUCUGGGCCGAUACUGACGCUGAGACGCGAAAGCGUGGGGAGCGAACAGG